ACUCAAAUGAAUUGACGGGAGCUCGCACAAGUGGUGGAGCGUGUGGCUCAAUUCGUCGCUAAACGAAGAACCUUACCAAGAUUAGACAUCCUGCUGCACGCCUAGGGAAACCUAGGAAGCUUUCGAAGGUGCAGGACAGGUGAUGCACGGCUGUCGUCAGUUCGUGGUUUGAAUCGUUCCCUUCAGUGGGGUAACGAACGCAACCCUCGUUGCCAGUUACAAGUGUCUGGCGAGACUGCCCCCUCACGGGGGAGGAAGGUGAGGAUGACGCCAAGUCAGCGUGUCCCUCUGAUAUCUUGGGCCGCACACGCGCUACAAUCGCAUUUACAAAGGGGCGCAAUAUCGCAAGAUGGAGCAAAUCCCUAAAAGAUGCGCCAGUUCGGAUUGGAGUCUGCAACUCGACUCCAUGAAGCCGGAAUCACUAGUAAUCGUGGGUCAGCUAUACCACGGUGAAUACGUUCUCGAGCUUUGUACACACCGCCCGU
rnacentral:rRNA from 1 species